AUGGCUGGUGCAAAAGGAGUGCAGCAACGCACCACCUCGGGUGGUUCCCAGUCGCGGCCAUCACAGGACGGCUCCCAGUCGCCGCCUCCGGAGGAGCAACGAGGGCGCAGCUGGUCCAGGCGCGGACAUCGUGGUGAGGUCGUGGUUAGGGAGAUCGUGCGCAAGACCGCAAUCAGCGAUAGCGUACCCAUCACCUUCCCGAUGCUCACGCGCUCAAACUACAGCGAGUGGGCGUUGAUCAUGGAGUGCAACCUCCAUGCGGCGAGCCUCUGGGUUCCCACGGAGGAUGACCUGGUCGAGAGAAAGGAGGACAGGAAAGUCGUGGCUGCACUCAUGCGCGCCACGCCGCCGGAGAUGCAUGGCAUGCUCGCGGUGAAGGCAAGCGCCAAGGAGGCAUGGGAAGCCAUCCGUACCCAGCGCCUCGGCAGCAACCGUGUGCGUGAGGCGAACACGCUGAAGCUGCGGGCAGACUUCAAGAACAUCGCCUUCAAGGAGGGCGAGCUCGUCGACGACUUCGCCAUGCAGAUCUCUAGCCUUGCGUCGCAGCUCCACGCGCUUGGCGACACCAUGGACGACGUGAGAGUCGUGCGGAAAUUUCUCCGCGUCGUGCCACCUCGCUUCGCUCAGGUAGCGGUCUCCAUCGAGACCUUGCUUGACCUGAGCAAGCUCUCCAUCGAGGAGCUCACGGGCCGGUUGCGGGUGGUCGCGGACCGCCUUGACAACGGCCGCGAGAGCUUCAGCGGCGGACAACUCCUAUUCUCGAAGAACUGGGAGGCGAGGAAGCGUCAAGGACAUGGUGGCGGUGCCUAG
rnacentral:rRNA from 1 species